rnacentral:lncRNA from 1 species
GAGGGAGCCGGGAAACGCGGCCAGCGCGCGCUUGCUACGGCUGGUCGUGAGCCCAGGUGCUAACUACUAAAUCGCCGAGUCAUUUUCAGAAAGAUUAAAAUAAGCUAGUUGGUCUGUUUUUUUUCUUACACCAUGAGAAAAACUCUGCACAGGAGUUGAGAAACUUGUUUCUAUAUUAAAUAACUCAUGUCGUGGGAAAGUGGUCUCCUACUUUAAUGAAGAGAGGUAUUUAUUUUGGUGGAGCUUUGACCGCAAAGUGGGAAAUGAAACGGAGUCACAAUACUUUAGCUGCAAUGCAAAAAAGAGUGGGGACGACCGGACAACCACAUAGCACAGCUCUUAGUAGGAUUUUUAAGCUUACAUUUUACAUCAUUAUAGCAAUUAUUCUGGAGUGGAGAGGAGGACGGCAACCUCCGUGGAAUGCAUAGCAGAAUACACUGAAGAUCAGUGGCAAUCGAAACCGUGGUACAAGCGAUCUGACAGGAACACAGUGUCUCACUGCCGAGUAGCUAACAUCCACUGCAUAGAGUGGCCGUCAUUGCGUCCCUUAGUCUUCCUCAGAUCUAGAGACUCGCUUCCAUCAACAGAAUAAGGCAAAAGUGAUGGAGGUCGCUUUCAAGAUUAGGUUAUAAAAGACGGACUUUCAUCUUGCUUGCAUUCCCCUCUUGGGCACUACCUGUCUUGCCCUCUCAUUGGCUCUUUUCGAUGAAGCCACCUACCAUGUUGUGAGCUGCUUUUUGGAGAGGUCCACAUGGCAAGGAACUGAGCGUCACCUCCAGCCAGCAGCCAGUGAGGAACUGAGGCCCUCAGUCCAAUAACCUUCGAGGAACUAACAGACUAACACCGUUGGAGGGAGCUAGGGAGUGCAUCUCUCCCCAUGUGAGCCUUGAGAUGACUCUCUCCUGCCAAGACCUUGAUUGCAGCCUGUGAGACCCUCACGCUGAGGACCCAGUUAAGCCUCUCCCAGAGUGCUGUCCUACAGAAGCUGUGAAAUAAUAAAUAUUGUUUUAGUCCACUAAAUUUUGGAGUAUUCGUUACCCAACAAUAGAUUACGAAGACAGGCUGUCUCCUCUGUUUUCUGAAAGAGCGUACCAAUGAAUAAUACUGACUGAGCCAAGCAUAUACUUCAUUCCCU